UAGGCUCGUUUAGUUUAAUCUGCGGCCCUCCAAAUUCCUAGGGCUCCUCACUUUCUCAAAAUCGGCUUCUGGUUCUACCGAACUCUUUCUUCUUCUCUAAUUCGCCUUUGGAAAAUCCUUCGAUGGCGCUUCCUCCAGGGCCCUAUUCUGGAACCAGCACCCUCGCUUUGGUUGCUCGUGCUUCGGCGUUUUCUGUUGGACUUGUCUACGGAAGCCUCAAGCUCAAGUAUCUUCAGGCGAAGGCAAAAUCUCACAAGAAAGCUGAAGCAAAGGCUCAUCACUGAGGUAUGGCUGAUGAUUCUUAUCAGCAUCAAAAUUGAGGCACUGGUUGAAUUUUAAAGGGAAAUAAAUCUAUUUUUACUGAACACUCUUUCGUUCCAUGUUGCAUUAGAUGGCUCUAUAUUUCAUUUAGGAGUCAUGUAGAUGUAUCUAACCUCGAUCUUAAGGACCAUAUUUGAGUUACAAUUAGUUGAUGGAUGGAUGAGAGGACUGUCUGAUCAUGAUUCCUUUCUUUGAUUGAAAUCAAUAAUUUGUUUGUCAUC